CGCAUCUGCAACCGCGGAUGUUGAAAAAUCUGCAUCUAAAGGUCUGAUUUAUUUAUUAGAAAUACAAUUUUGAAUUUUCAAAAAUAGAUAAAUUGUAUGCAGAAACGUUAACUGAGUUGCCUACUUCGGAAAGUCAAUUGUCAUUAUAUGUUGCACUAGUACACCGAAAGAUGGGGCAACCGGCAAAGUCAAAUGUCAAAAUCACUACGUCAAAAUAUUAUCAACAACAAAUCACUUUCAUCUUUUCUUCGGUGACUUUUCUUGCGUUUAUUGAAGAACACAAAAUAAGAAAAACAAUGGUACAAGAAAAACGAUAUGGUGUUGAUAGUCGAUUGAUUGACGAAUUAAAAGUUCUACAGUUAAAGAGAAGGAAAAGAGCAAUGUUUCAACAAUUGGCCUUUGUGUCUUUCAAUAAUGGUGGAGAGACCGAAAUGAUGGUGACGGCUUCCCACAAGCGAAUAACCGUUGAUCUCAUACAGAAUUGUCGCCCGCCGGUUCAGGAGAUUGAUAGAAUUGAUGACACAACUGUUGAAAUAGUGAUGAGCGUUGCUCUGUUUAUAAGAAUAAGAUUCAGAAGUGCUGCUAGUUUAGACGCCUUUAAGAGAACGCUCGGAGAUCUAGCUGAAAAUGAUUCAUCAUCCUCAAGCUCGAGUGAAGAAUCCAAUGGGUCUACUUCGCCAGAGGGGUCCCAAACAUCAGUUUCAACCACAGACGAAACUAUGCUCACGUUACCGGGUGAAAUUUAAGUUUGUUAAAAAGCAAAUCACUCAAGUUUUUCAUAUUUUUAUUAUUUUCAUGGCAACUUAUUCAGCUAACUCUUAUAUUUUUCUAUUAAUAAAGGUGUAUCAUCAAUAAAAUAAUAAAUAAAUUA